rnacentral:rRNA from 1 species
GUCUACAGCCAUACCACCCUGAACGCUCCCGAUCUCAUCUGAUCUCGGAAGCUAAGCAGGGUCGGGCCUGGUUAGUACUUGGAUGGGAGGAAUAUAUAUUUGGUACUGACU